CGCAAUGGGGGAAACCCUGACGUAGCGACACCGCGUGAGCGAAGAAGCCCCUUGGGGUGUAAAGCUCUGUCAGCUGGAACGAAAAAAAUGACGGUACCAGCAGAGGAAGCAUCGGCUAACUACGUGCCAGCAGCCGCGGUAAGACGUAGGAUGCAAGCGUUGUCCGGAUUUAUUGGGCGUAAAGAGUUCGUAGGUGGUUUGUUAAGUUUGGUGUUAGAGAUUGGGGCUCAACCCUGGAACUGCACUGAAUACUGGCAGACUCGAGUGUGGUAGAGGCUAGUGGAAUUCCCAGUGUAGCGGUGAAAUGCGUAGAUAUUGGGAAGAACACCGGUGGCGUAGGCGACUAGCUGGGCCAUAACUGACACUGAGGAACGAAAGCCA
rnacentral:rRNA from 1 species